rnacentral:rRNA from 1 species
AGAGUUUGAUCCUGGCUCAGGACGAACGCUGGCGGCGUGCUUAACACAUGCAAGUCGAACGCGAAAAGUUUUCUUCGGAAGACGAGUAGAGUGGCGCACGGGUGAGUAACGCGUAAGUUAUCUACCUCGGCAUCUGGAAUAACUCACCGAAAGGUGUGCUAAUACCGGAUACGUUGAGAAAUCAAGAAAGGUGGCCUCUGAAUAUGCUACCGUGCUGAGAUGAGCUUGCGUACCAUUAGCUAGUUGGUAGGGUAAUGGCCUACCAAGGCAACGAUGGUUAGCGGGUCUGAGAGGAUGAUCCGCCACACUGGAACUGAAACACGGACCAGACUCCUACGGGAGGCAGCAGUGAGGAAUAUUGCGCAAUGGGGGCAACCCUGACGCAGCGACGCCGCGUGGAUGAUGAAGGCCUUCGGGUCGUAAAAUCCUGUCAGGUGGAAAGAAGUGCAUAGUGGCUAAUAUCCAUUAUGUUUGACGGUACCACCGAAGGAAGCACCGGCUAACUCCGUGCCAGCMGCCGCGGUAAUA